rnacentral:tRNA from 1 species
GUCACGAUAGCUCAAGUGGUAGAGCAACGGCGUAACUAGCCGAAGUUCGUGGGUUCGAAUCCCGCUCGUGACA